GUGGGGAAUCUUCCGCAAUGGACGAAAGUCUGACGGAGCAACGCCGCGUGAGUGAAGAAGGUUUUCGGAUCGUAAAGCUCUUUCGUUAGGGACGAACGUGCUCUUUGUGAAUAAUGAGGAGUAAUGACGGUACCUAAAUAAGAAGCCACGGCUAACUACGUGCCAGCAGCCGCGGUAAUACGUAGGUGGCAAGCGUUGUCCGGAAUUAUUGGGCGUACAGCGCGCGCAGGCGGGAUAUCAAGUCUGUCUUAAAAGUGCGAGGCUCAACCUCGUGAGGGGACAGAAACUGGUAUUCUUGAGUGUCGGAGAGGAAAGUGGAAUUCCAAGUGUAGCGGUGAAAUGCUUAGAGAUUUGGAAGAACACCAGUGGCGAAGGCGACUUUCUGGACGAUGUCUGACGCUGAGGCGCGAAAGCUAGGGGAGCGAACGGGAUUAGAUACCCCAGUAGUCC
rnacentral:rRNA from 1 species